UAUUUUUAGUUUUAGUUUAAAUCGGUUUCAGUUCAGUUUUAGUUUAAAUCGGUUUCAAUUCAGUUUUAGUUUCAAUGUGAAUUAGUUCAUUUAAUUUAGUUGAAUAUUAAGUUAAGUUGAUUGAUAAACUUUUCCGUUUUUCACAUUUAUUUUCAGUUACAGUUUGUUUCAGUUCAGUUAUACUUCAAUUUUGAUUUUUCAUUUACAGUUUAUUUCAAUUUUAGUUCAACAUUUUUACGAUUACUUCCAGUCAGUUCAAAUUUAAGUUGUUUUAGUUCAACCAUCAUUUCAUUAAUGAAACUGACGGCUCUAUACAGGACCAUAUUUGAUGCACUGACGCGAACUAGCUCCAUGGAAAAUUGUCAUUACUAUUUUUUGGUGCCAAAAUUUUCAAGCCUCAAUUGCUUAUAUAUACAUGUUGUCGUCGCCUUUUGAUACCAUCCAAAUACAAGCGUUUGCUGUGAGUCAAGUCAUGGCCUCUUCAAAGCGUUUUCUUGUUGGCAUCAUUUUUACCCUUCUUUUUCUCAUUUCUUCUAAGGUCUCCGCUCGUCAGUUGGCUGAUCCAAACUCGACUCAACAUACCAAGUUGGUGAAGGAGUCUAAGCACGGCAGCACGAAUGGGUUGCUGCAUCCGACUGCUUAUCCUGUUGAUCCUCCAGGUUAUGGUGAUUACCCCGGGUAUCCCCCACGGAGCCCAGGCAAAGCCUAACUACGCAGUUCCCGGAAGUCCAGGCGUUGUGUUUGUGUGGAUAAGUCAUAGAUGCGAGUAUUAUUAAACUAGAUAUGGAUUAUGAGAGUGAAUAAAUGUUGAAUAAAACUCUGAAAAGAAGGUGGGUACCUAAACUUGUACGUGUUUCUAUGUAAUGUUUUUCAAGUUUGUUUGGGAUUAUUAUGUACGAAAAAUCUGUUCCAAGUUCUAUAUAUUCCCUCCGGUUUUUUUUA